rnacentral:lncRNA from 1 species
CUUUUCUAGGGCUGCUCCCACAGCAUAUGGAGGUUCCCAGGCUAGGGGUCUAAUCAGAGCUGUAGCCACCGGCCUACACCAGAGCCACAGCAACUUGGGAUCCGAGCAGUGUCUGUGACCUACACCACAGCUCAUGGCAACACUGGAUCCUUAACCCACUGAGCAAGGCCAGGGAUCAAACCCUCAAUCUCAUGGUUCCUAGUCAGAUUCGUUAACCACUGCGCCACAAUGGGAACUCCUAGAUGUAACUUCUUAUCCCACUAACAUCUUCCUUCUUCUUUUUUUUUUUUUUUUGGUCUUUUUGCCAUUUCUUGGGCCGCACCCGCGGCAUGUGGAAGUUCCCAGGCUAGGGGUCUAAUCAGAGCUGUAGCUGCCGGCCUACACCACAGCCCACAGCAAUUUGGGAUCUGAGCCAUGUCUGCGGCCUACACUACAGCUCACGGCAACGCUGGAUCCUUAAUCCACUGAGCAAGGCUGGGGCUCGAACCCGCAACCUCAUGGUUCCUAGUCGGAUUCGUUAACCACUGAGCCACAACGGGAACUCCGACCUUGACAGUCUUAAGGAGGGUUGGCCAGCUAUCCUGUAGAAUGUCUCCUGGACUGGGUUUGUCAGCUAUUUUUCUUAUAUUGGACUGGGGCUAUGGGACUUGGGAACCUGCCCUUCUCAUCACAUCAUGUCACAUCAGAGAGUGCAGGCAUGACACCCACGUGACAUCACCAAUCAUGUCAGCCCUCAUCCCUUGGGGAAGGCGGUCUCUGUGAGGUUUCACCACUGUAAAUUCAGUUUCCGCUUCCCCAUUCUAUAACUUAUAAGCCACCCAACCCUGUUUUAUUUGCAAUAAAAACAUAAAGAAAUGAGAUGCUGCUUGCAGCUGAGUGUCAUGGAACAAUUCUUGCCUGGUAUAUUUAUAUUUGAACAAGGGUUUUCUUGAAGCCCUCUGCCUCAACCAAAAGUAGCAACUCUAAUGGGAGGAAUUUCAGGCUCUGUGACAGUUGGGUGUGGGCGUGUGGGCUUGGGCGAUAAAUGUAAGCAGCAUUCUCAAGCCUACCUCUCAGUGCCCUGCUCCCCUGCCUAUAUAUAGGGCCAGAGCAUGGAGUAUCCUGUUCAUAACAUCUUAGUGCAGAUUUGAAAACUUAACCCGCCUACAUACACAGGAGGGACUGUCCUACCACCUAUUUUCUAAUACAGGGCAGUGAGUGCAGAUUUAGAAGGGGUGAGGAUGGUUUCCCCAGGACAAAUCAAGCCUCUUUGGUUGAGCACAUAAUGGGAGAGAAGUAUGGCUCCCUGUCUGGUUCAAGUUCAAAGUGUUCCCAAUGAGAGAGCCACUUCAUUUCAAGAGCAAGACCUCCCCCGUAUCUUUGAAAUUGGAAGCCACCUAAAAAGAGAUACGAAAACAGCCUCACCUGUGUUCCUGCUCAUCAAGUAGGAAGUUGCUGCUUUUGACAUCUUGUCAUGGCCACUUUCUGCGCCAGAGAUCACUUUAGGCACCUCUUGUUGUCCCAGCUGUCCCGAUGACCCGCGAGUUAUGGAUUUUCGGGUUUAACGCUUUAGACAGAAAGUACUUCUGUGGUUGGAAUCGGCAGAAAGAGUCCAUGAAUCAUGCAGACUCUCUGCAAUGACAAAGUAGUUAUUGGAACUUUGCAGAAGUUGUUUAUUGGGCCUCUGACGUGUAGAGAAGCAAGGAAUUUAGCGACAGAUUUAGAGCAAUAAAGCAUGGUAAUGUUUAUUCACACUUUGUGCUGCCAACAUUAAAAUUCAGUUCCAUAAGGCUUUGACUUAGGUCCUUAGCAGAAAUCAUCUCAUAAUAUCCUUCUGACGUGGGCUGUGUGACAACCGUUCUGCAGGAGGUUGGAAUGAGGCAGAGAUUUAAGGGAAGUCUUUAGAUGAGACCAUGGAUGGAGAUCAGGAGGGGACCGGGGUGGGGGGCGGGAAGGUGUUCUGAGGUCAGGAAGGCCCAGCUGAGCACCCUGAGGACUCCUCAAGAUCAAGGCUGGAGCUCAGUUCUCAUGGUCACCUUGACUGGGUUCUAUUUCCACCUUUUAUUUAACACCUUUUGCUGGAAGUCGGACUGCUGGGCAGAGGAUUAGAACAAGAUUCUGCCUCGGCUCAUAUGAGGCUUACAGUUUAGAGGGGUGGAGGCAGGGGGAGGGUGACAUGGGACAGACAGGUGAAAAACUGGGCAAUUAAACCAGCGGCUGGUGUUACCCAAGUGGUGACGAGGGUUUGGGGAUGGGGGAUUCCAGGCAAAGACAAGGCAAGUUAGAAGACCCAGAGGCAGGCUGGGAGAGCUGUAGGUAACCAACCCAACCAACCUCCAUGGAAAUAAUGAUGAGAUUUUGUGUCUCAAAAAAAAAGAAAAAAAAA